GCGGGUGUAGUUUACUGGUAAAACCUCAGCCUUCCAAGCUGAUGUAGUGGGUUCGAUUCCCAUCACCCGCUCCA
rnacentral:tRNA from 48 species